AUACAGCGAAACUGCGAAUGGCUCAUUAUAUAAGUUAUCGUUUAUUUGAUAGUACCUUACUACUUGGAUAACCGUGGUAAUUCUAGAGCUAAUACAUGCUAAAAAUCCCGACUUCGGAAGGGAUGUAUUUAUUAGAUUAAAAACCAAUGCCCUCUGGGCUCCUUGGUGAUUCAUAAUAACUUUUCGAAUCGCAUGGCCUUGCGCCGGCGAUGGUUCAUUCAAAUUUCUUCCCUAUCAACUUUCGAUGUUUGGGUAUUGGCCAAACAUGGUCGCAACGGGUAACGGAGGGUUAGGGCUCGACCCCGGAGAAGGAGCCUGAGAAACGGCUACUACAUCCAAGGAAGGCAGCAGGCGCGCAAAUUACCCAAUCCCGAUUCGGGGAGGUAGUGACAAUAAAUACUGAUACAGGGCUCUUUUGGGUCUUGUAAUUGGAAUGAGUACAAUUUAAAUCCCUUAACGAGGAACAAUUGGAGGGCAAGUCUGGUGCCAGCAGCCGCGGUAAUUCCAGCUCCAAUAGCGUAUAUUAAAGUUGUUGUGGUUAAAAAGCUCGUAGUUGAACCUUGGGCCUGGCUGGCCGGUCCGCCUCACCGCGUGUACUGGUCCGGCCGGGCCUUUCCCUCUGUGGAACCUCAUGCCCUUCACUGGGUGUGGCGGGGAAACAGGACUUUUACUUUGAAAAAAUUAGAGUGCUCCAGGCAGGCCUAUGCUCGAAUACAUUAGCAUGGAAUAAUGAAAUAGGACGUGUGGUUCUAUUUUGUUGGUUUCUAGGACCGCCGUAAUGAUUAAUAGGGACAGUCGGGGGCAUCAGUAUUCAAUUGUCAGAGGUGAAAUUCUUGGAUUUAUUGAAGACUAACUACUGCGAAAGCAUUUGCCAAGGAUGUUUUCAUUAAUCAGGAACGAAAGUUAGGGGAUCGAAGACGAUCAGAUACCGUCGUAGUCUUAACCAUAAACUAUGCCGACUAGGGAUCGGACGAUGUUAUUUUUUGACGCGUUCGGCACCUUACGAGAAAUCAAAGUGCUUGGGCUCC
rnacentral:rRNA from 1 species